GAUCCUGGCUCAGAUUGAACGCUGGCGGCAGGCUUAACACAUGCAAGUCGAGCGGGGAAGGGUAGCUUGCUACCCGACCUAGCGGCGGACGGGUGAGUAAUGCUUAGGAAUCUGCCUAUUAGUGGGGGACAACAUUCCGAAAGGAAUGCUAAUACCGCAUACGCCCUACGGGGGAAAGCAGGGGAUCUUCGGACCUUGCGCUAAUAGAUGAGCCUAAGUCAGAUUAGCUAGUUGGUGGGGUAAAGGCCUACCAAGG
rnacentral:rRNA from 1 species